AUGACCGAGACCCUGGUGCGCUGGGCUCGGAAGAAGGGACAUUUGUCAGAAGUGGUGCUGAUCUUCAGCAUCGACAAAUGGCGUGAUAUUGGGAACCGCGUGUGGGAAUCAGUCAUUAAUGCUGGAAAGCAAGAAAAAUUAUUGCGGACCCUUGAGCCCUUGUGGAGGUCUAUUAUUAACUCUUUGAAAGCUAUGCAAGCCGAGCAACAGGUAGCUGCUGCAGCUCUGCAGGCACUGGCCGGUACAACAACUAAUUCGGCUUCGGAGUUUAACGCGCCGGUUCGGGGUGUCACACACCCUGUGUGCUCCUCGGCAGGUCAGGUAAAAGCAUCGGUAGAGGCAGCAGAUGCUGACCUUUCAAAUGACGCUGUUACUGAGUCAUCUGCAGUACUGCAGCAUGUAAAAGGGGCUAAAAAACUAAUGAAGCCCUGGCGAGAUGUGAUAACUUGUAUCAGGAGGUAUAGGUUAGAACGGCAGGUAGCUGCCUCAGCUUCGUGCCAGUUAGAAAGUCUGCCCGAAGACGCUGGGCGCUUAAAGGUCGCGGGGCACUGCGUUUCGAUGCCCCCCCCGGGAGGACCAGCUCCGCUCCGCACUAACGGCCUCUCGCAGGCAGGGGCUUCGGCGAUCCCGUCUGCCCCCCCCAGGGACGAUAUAGAGGAAGUAAGUGAGGAUGAGGGGCUGGACCUGCUUCCCCCUGAUACAGAAGGGGGUAAUGGGGACGGAGCGAACAGAGCCAGCGGCUCGGCGCUACCCGCUGCUCCGCGGGCGGUAGGCGGGGGCUCUCAUGGGGCCGCGCCCAGGAGGCCGUCGUGGACUCCGCCUCGCAGACCGGCCCUUCCUCGUCCCGAUUGGUCAGCAGUAGCAAGAGACGCUAUCAAUGCCGGGGAUAUGAAAAUAGUAGAAGCGGUGAGUCAAGCGUUCCCUGUGCGGUUUGAAGUAGAUAACGAUGGAAAUCGACAAGGAAUCCACGUACCCAUGGGCUGGAAAAUGUUAUCACGGCUUAGGGCCACAGUUAAUGAGAGCGGGCUGCACGGAGAGCCUACUAAGCAGAUAUUGAACUAUAUAUGGGGCAGCAGUGUAUUAGUCCCAGAGGAUGUCAAGGUAAUUGUCCGAAUGAUAAUGAGUCAGUCAGAGCAGUUGUUGUGGCAAGCCCAUUGGCAGAGGCUGUGCGAGAUCAGCUCCAAUAGCCCAAGGGCUGCCGCAGAUCCCCUGUUUGGGGUAACAGUAGAACAAUUGAUGGGCACAAGUCAAUUUGCUGUCCCAGACAUGCAGGUCUACUUGGGGCCCGAGGUCUGUUUGGAAGGAAUGCGGCUAGCCCGACAGGCAAUGGAGAUGGUUAAAACAUCCACUCCAACUCCCUCGUACAUGUCUAUAAAGCAGGGUCAUGAGGAGACUUUUGCUGGCUUCAUUGACAGAAUAACAGAAGCCAUAAAUAGGGCGGAUGUUCCGGAGUGGAUGAAGGGCGCCUUGUUACGCCAAUGCGCAAUGGAAAAUUGCAACGCCUCCACUCGGUCUGCCUUAAUAACCCUCCCAAUAGAUGCAACUAUCGAAAUGAUGCUAGACCGAAUGAGCAGGGUACCAACAGGCCCCCAGGCAUUCUUAGUGGAGGCGUUACAAGAAAUAGGCAGUAAGUUGGUGGAGGCGCAAACCCAAGCCUUUGCUGCUCUCGUGCCUUUGACAAGAGGGGGAGGGCAAAGGACUGAGCGACCACGGAAAAACCAGGAAACAAAUUGUUUCCAUUGUGGAAAGACAGGGCAUAUGAAAAGGGAAUGUAAGGGCAAGGUCUGGUGCAACAACUGCAACUCCGCCUCCCAUAGCACGUUAGCAUGCCGCUUAUCGGGAAACUUCAAGCAGAGCGCAAAGGGCCGACGCGCGCCGACAACAAUGGCAGCCCCAGCAGUAGCCCCUCAACGCCUCCGCCAUCAAGCCCACACAAGGCAGCGGCACACGACAAAAUUCAUUCACAAGGGCCUCUGA
rnacentral:lncRNA from 1 species